rnacentral:rRNA from 1 species
UACGGGGGGGGCAAGCGUUGUUCGGAAUUACUGGGCGUAAAGGGCUCGUAGGCGGCCAACUAAGUCAUACGUGAAAUCCCUCGGCUUAACCGGGGAACUGCGUCUGAUACUGGAUGGCUUGAGAUUGGGAGAGGGAUGCGGAAUUCCAGGUGUAGCGGUGAAAUGCGUAGAUAUCUGGAAGAACACCGGUGGCGAAGGCGGCUCUCUGGACCGAGACUGACGCUGAGGCGCGAAAGCGUGGGGAGCAAACAGG